rnacentral:rRNA from 1 species
GUGAGACAGUUCGGUCUCUAUCUGUUGUGGGCGUUGGAAAAUUGCGGAGGACUGACCUUAGUACGAGAGGACCGGGUCGGACCAACCUCUGGCAUACCGGUUGUGGCGCCAGCUGCACCGCCGGGUAUCCACGUUGGGUCAGGAUAAGCGCUGAAAGCAUCUAAGCGCGAAGCCGUCUCCAAGAUGAGUUUUCCUUAUAGGGUCGUGGGAGACUACCACGUUGAUAGGCAGGAUGUGUAAGUUCGGUGACGGGCUCAGCAGACCUGUACUAAUUGCCCGAUAAACUUUCCUGA